CCAGCAGCCGCGGUAAUUCCAGCUCCAAUAGCGUAUAUUAAAGUUGUUGCAGUUAAAAAGCUCGUAGUUGGACUUCUGGCAGGGCGCCGCGUGCCACAGUAGUGCGUACAAGGGCCCGGCCAUCCUUCUGUAAACGUCGCGGAGGUUCACUCGUCCGCGGUGGGACCAGUUAAUUUACCUUGAGAAAAUUAGAGUGUUUCAGGCAGGCGUAGCCGGAAUACAUUAGCAUGGAAUAAUGGAAUAGGACUUAGUCUCUUUGUUGGUUCGAGGGACUGGAGUAAUGAUUAAUAGGGAUAGUUGGGGGCAUUAGUAUUUAUUAGCUAGAGGUGGAAUUCUCUAAUUUGAUAAAGACUAACUUAUGCGAAAGCAUUUGCCAAGGAUGUUUUCAUUAAUCAAGAACGAAAGU
rnacentral:rRNA from 1 species